rnacentral:rRNA from 1 species
UACGUAGGGUGCGAGCGUUGUCCGGAAUUAUUGGGCGUAAAGAGCUUGUAGGCGGUUUGUCGCGUCUGCUGUGAAAAUCCGGGGCUCAACCCCGGACUUGCAGUGGGUACGGGCAGACUAGAGUGUGGUAGGGGGAGACUGGAAUUCCUGGUGUAGCGGUGGAAUGCGCAGAUAUCAGGAGGAACACCGGUGGCGAAGGCGGGUCUCUGGGCAGUAACUGACGCUGGAGGAGCGAAAGCGUGGGGAGCGAACAGG